GAGCCUGCUUGGGAUUCUCUCUCUCUCUCUGUCCCUCCCCACCUUGUGCGCUCUCUCAAAAUAAAUCAACUUUUUAAGCGUUCAUCUUAAUGACAUUUAUUCAACAAACAUUUGAGUGUGUACUGUGCGCUGAAUGCAGGAAGCAGGGAUGAAUAAAACACCAUCCUACACCCUAGGACAUAGAUCUAUGGAUUGCAAGUGCUAGUUUAGAAAUACACUCAAUACUUGUGGAGCCCCGAAGGGCAUGUGGAGUAAGGAUAACAGAUAAUCGAGUUGUUGAAUGCUUCUUGGAGGCAUUAUCACCUAAUCACCUAAAAUGUGUUAGCCAGAGGAAGGCAUUCUUGGCUGAGAGGUCAGCAUGAGCAAAGGCAGAAAAUUGUGUAUUGUGAAUAUGUGUGCGUGAAUGUAAGGUAGAGCAAGUCAGUGAUGCUGGCACAGAAAAUUAAAAGCAAAACAUGAGGCUAUCUGUGUAGCAUGGGCCAGAUCAGAGAGUUUUGUGGGUUAGGCUGGAUUCUGAGCAUUAUCCUGGAGGCUAGAGGGAGUUUCAAAUGUUUUAAGCAGGGGACUAAAGCUAUUGGAUUUUGUUAUAAAUAUACUCUGGUAGUAGAAUGGGAGGGAGAGGGUCUGGGAUAGGAAAACUCGUUAUAUUUUUUGUAUUGUUUCAGGAAGAGAUUCGCAAGUCUGAAAUGAGAGUUAGAGGGAAGACAUAUCAUAAUAUUUAGUAUGUAGAUCAACAGGACUGUGAGUCUGAUCACAUGUGGAGUAAUGGAGUGGGAAGUCUCAUUUGGGUGGGUGGUUGAACCCCCAAAUUAGGUAGAAAUCCAGGAACAUGAUAAGUUUGGACCUGCUGUAUUUGAGUAGGUCUCUGGGUGGGAAUGCAUCACAGGUAGAAAAAUUCAGAGGUCUGGGCUAGAGAUCAAUGCAUGGAGGCUUUAGUAGAUAGGGGAUAGCUGAGACCAUGAGAAUGGCUGAGAUCAGCCAAGAUGAAUGUGGAGAUAAAUGGGAUAGGACAUUUAAAAGGUAAGUGUGUGAAUAAGAGCCCAGGAAAGAGAAGGGAGACAUCAUAUUACAACAGAGGACAAAGGAGUAGUUUUAAGGAAUGAAUUAUUAGUGGCAAAUACAGAAGAGAUCCUCUGAUGAGAUCAGAAGUAAACACACUCAGUUGGCAAUCAAGAGGUCACUGUAUGAGGGACGAGAACCAGAGGGGGGUGGGAAAAGUGAGGCCGUAAAUGUGCACAGCUUGAGAACUCUGGAUCUGAAUGGAAGAAGGGAGCAUAGAGCUGAUGUUAACGAGAUUUACGUUUCAUGAAAGGAUGAAACAGGAACAUGUUUGCUCCUGAAGAGGAAGGAAUAGAAACAGAGAGGUUGAAGAUAAGAGUUGUUUUUUUCCCAAGCUUAGAAAUCUGCUAGGAAUCUUCAGGCUACUCAGGAAGACCGCAUCAGAAUCAAACUUGUAGCCAGUUCAUAAGCACAGUAGCUAAUCCAUCUUCGUUAAAACCUAUGCCUUCCCUAAGUUUUAAGUCAAAGAAGUAAGAGCUCAAUAGCCAAUUAGAGGAUAAAAUAAAAUUUGUCAAAGAAUGAUACUGCUUUUUCUGGGAUGAAUAUAAAUCAAUAUAAACGAAGAGUGUAUUUUUCUGUGGAGACUAUGCUAUAGACUGGCAGAAAAGUGACCUGGCAGCUUAUACUACUCACCAAGAGAGCAGCACAAGCCCUGAAAAGGGGUAAAAGUUCCAUGUCCCUUAUGAAUACUAAUUAAGUCACCAAGAGUCCUUUGUACCAGUAAAGUGAAGGCUUGGCCACCCAUGUGAUAGCAUACAGGCAAAAUUCCUGAUCAUCAAGGACCCACUUUUAUGUUAAUUAAAAAAAUUUUGGUGAAGUUGGUAAUUUGAAUGAUUCUAAAAUUCCUUUCAAGAGCAUAUUUCUCUUUGCUGGAAUAACCCAAACAAAUAUUUUAAUAAAUAAGUUUUAAUAGAAUGAAGAACUGUGAACCAAAUAAAGAUGGAGUUGUCUCUAGGGAACAGAUAUCUUCAAAUAAAACAAUAAUUUAAAACAAGGUGAGAAGAACCCGAAUACGAGAGAGAGGACUGAUUUUAAUUGGCUGCAGAAUGCUUUGGUUGCUUUAAAAAAAAAAAAAAGUAAAUCUUAACAUUCAAGACAAAACACAUUCAAAAACGUAUUUAAAGGCUUGAACACUUGGGCCUGUGUCAGUGGAAGGGAUGUUUGUAGCAAGCUAAUAAAAUCAAGACUUUUUAAAAUCUAAAUUAUUCCUUCCCUUCAUUCAUCAAGUCAACAAAUAUUGACUGAGGGCCUGGUAAAGGACAUCAAACCUUUGGCAAUACACAGGUGCUUUUUAAUCAGUCUGUACUCGUCCAUGCGUGCUCAGACCCUGAGUUCCUCCUCUUGCAGGCUGGCCUGAGUCCAUGGUCUCCUCUGCCCUAUCUCUUUGAGGCUCACACCCUUCACCGAUGCUGCCUCCUGCUGACCUCCUGGUCCCUUCUCUUCAUUCACUGAACAUGUCGGUGCCUGACCUAGCUUUCCUCUCUACUUCAACUUCUGCCAUCCUCCUGGAUGAUUUUAAUGUCCACCAUCCCACCCAACUGUCCUUUCAGGUUUCCUGUUCUCGUUUGGUCUCAUGAUCUUCAUUUAGCCACUGCAAGAUCACACUCCACCAUGACCUUGCUCCUCUCUGAUCACUAAUCCACACAUCCUGGUCUGAGACUAGUGUUUCCUGUCCUUCCAAACCUGCUUGUUCCAGCAACUCCCAGCAGCCCAGAUCUGUUAUCAGACUAUCCAUCAGGCUCCUUACUGUCUUCCCAAUGCUCUGUGUCCUUACCUAUCCACAGUUUAAAUAUGUAGGACCACUGUUUCAGCAGUUAUUCAAUUAGCAUCCCUUUGAUCAAACUCAUCUGGCAAAACAGCAAGUAUCUCCAUUUUCUCUGUCUGUACCCAGGCAUUGGGGUGCUACUAUGGAGGGGAACAACAAAGAUCACAACAGGCAAAUUAAACUUUAAAUUCUCAGUCACCGAAUAGGUGGGUCCUCCAUACCGUUCUAUCAUCCUGCUGUACAUCUGGUCACUUCAUUCUCCACAAAAACCAUUUUAAAACCUUUUUCAAAAGUCCAGUCUCCUUUGGUCUCUGACUUUGCCGAGGAAACCGAAGCCUGCAUGUGCACCUAUCCCCUUUCUCCUUCUUUCUAGAAUAGAAGCACCCCUUCCAUGUGAAAGCCAGCCAGUUUCUCCACAGGCGCUUUGGACCCCAUCCUCUUCCAACCUUGUAUGGAACCCAAAAGCAUCACUGAUUCCUUUUGGCUCUAUCUUCAACUUCUCCCUCUUUCCUGGGUCCUUUUUAGAAAGUAAAGCAGUAGCUAAAACGGGAAAGGGAGACACAUUGUUGCUUCAUUCUCUCCUUUUCAUGUCCAAAAUUCAAAGUUUUGUAAGAUAGCUUCUUUCUGCCAUGUGCUGCCUCAGCUGCUGUGGAGGGAAUGUUUGCAAGCCACUGGUUAUUUCCCGGUUAAAUUCAGUCCAUGCUUUUAAUCCCUCACUCUACUUGGUCUCUCAGCAGCAUUCCGUACUGUGCCGAAAAACUCCCUUCUUCUUCCUUUAUUCCUCCUGGUUUUCCUCUCUUCUCUUCGGCUACCACUUGUCCGUCUCCUUUGCCUUCUUACCUUCUGCCACUUAACUUUUGUAGAGUUCCUCUGGUUUUUCCCUCAGUUUUCUUUUCCUUGUACUCUACAGCAGGUUGGCAUAUUUUCUACUUUAAAGGGCCAUAAAGUAAAAUUAUUGGGCUUUGCAGGGUACAAAGUCUGUCUUUAGCAACUUCUCAACUCUGUUAUGGUAGCGUGAAAGCGGCCAUAAACAAGAAUUAGACUAAUGGGCAUGGCUUAUUCCAAAAGCCUCUGUUUACAAAAACAGACGGGCUGGAUUUUGCAUGUGGUUUGCCAGGCCAUAUUUUAUAUGCUUCCUAGUGAGGUACCCUUUCACGUGUCCCCAAACCUGUAUAUCCAGCUACCUAACAUCCACAUCUAAGUGUCUCUAUAGCAUCUCAUGAAAGAUCUUAACCUAGAAAUUCUGCCCUUUCCCUCCAGAUCUGGUCUCUCUCCAGUGUCCUUAAUAAGAGGCACUGCCAUUCAGAUGGUUGCACAAGGCAGAAAAUAGAGGAGUACCUAAAAGAGGGUGGAAGAUGCUUAUUGCUUGGUUGCCCAGAAGAAUCAUGGCUGUUGCUGAUAAUUAUGACUGACAGUGAGCAAGGAAAGCCUGCCAGGCCUUCCCUUGUUCCUAGACAACAGACUCAACACUGAUUAAACUUAUAACCCUGGAAUUUAAUAAAUUUCCUAGUCACUGGGUUUUGGACUUAGAACAACAACAAAAAAACACCUAAAAAACAAGAAACCAAACCAGAAACAGAAGUAAGUAUUGGCUUCUUGAUGAAUGCUCAAUGACAGAUUUAAAAACUCGGUGUAUAUUACAGAAGUUACUGAUACACAUAAUCCAUUUGAUCGAUGCAAGGGUAACAAAACUGAAUUCCCUUUUGAGUCUGAGAAAGCCACUUUCAACUCCCUAAGGAAUUGUCUGCCCUUGAUUUCCUUUGAAAAAUCGACAGAUGUAAUCUGUUGUGCCUAAGUUUUCCAUCAAGAUUGAGGUGCAUAACCUUUUCUUUCAUAAAGUUAAAUAUCAUCAAGGAA